UACAGAGGUCCCAAGCGUUGUUCGGAUUCAUUGGGCGUAAAGGGUGCGUAGGCGGCGCGGUAAGUCGGGUGUGAAAUCUCGGGGCUUAACUCCGAAACUGCAUUCGAUACUGCCGUGCUUGAGGACUGGAGAGGAGACUGGAAUUUACGGUGUAGCGGUGAAAUGCGUAGAUAUCGAUAAGGAAGACCAGGUGGCGAAGGCGGGUCUCUGGACAGUUCCGUGACGCUGAGGCAACGAAGGCCAGGGGAGCAAACGGGG
rnacentral:rRNA from 1 species